rnacentral:rRNA from 1 species
UACAGAGGUCUCAAGCGUUGUUCGGAUUCAUUGGGCGUAAAGGGUGCGUAGGCGGCGCGGUAAGUCGGAUGUGAAAUCUCGGAGCUUAACUUCGAAACUGCAUUCGAUACUGCCGUGCUUGAGGACUGGAGAGGAGACUGGAAUUUACGGUGUAGCGGUGAAAUGCGUAGAUAUCGUAAGGAAGACCAGUGGCGAAGGCGGGUCUCUGGGCCACUACUGACGCUGAGAAGCGAAAGCAUGGGGAGCGAACAGG